rnacentral:misc_RNA from 1 species
UGUUCCAUUCAUAUCUUUAUCAAGAGCAAGAAACAUGUCACAAAUCCUCUGUGCAGAAGUCAAGGAAAACCAGUUUUCAGCUUGCUCUGUGUCAGUAACUUCCUCCUCAGUUUCCUGGUGAAGUUCCAUCAACUCUUGGAGACAGUUGCUAAGUAAAAUCUUUUUUAUGCAUGCCUUACCUCGCCUAUGGGGAUCACAAAAGAAGAAAAAUUUGUGUGCAGCUAUACGGCAAUACAUUUGGACAAAAGCUGCUGGCAUGUCUCGAAGCUGUGCUAGGUUAGGAAUCAGGCCCCGUAUAUAGGCUUCCAUUUCAUGGGGUUGAAGGAAACCAUCAGAGUCUUCAUCAAGCUCACUCAUGUCAAUUCGGGCUUGAGUAAGUGAAACUGUACGCAUCACAUAUAGGUAAAAUGGCAGGAUGGCAAUCCUCCCUGAUUCAUCCUUCUCAAACUUCAUGAAAUUUGAAGGACUGAAAAAGCGGCGACAUUUAGGCCCUAUUUGUUCUGUACAUACAGAGGCAAUGUGGCAAAAGUCUUCAUAAUUCAUCUUUUCUGCA